GACGUAGGGGGCAAGCGUUGUUCGGAAUUACUGGGCGUAAAGGGCUCGUAGGCGGUGUGGCAAGUCGGGUGUGAAAUCUCUGGGCUCAACCCAGAGUCUGCUUCCGAAACUGCUGUGCUUGAGUGUGGGAGAGGCGCGUGGAAUUGCAGGUGUAGCGGUGAAAUGCGUAGAUAUCUGCAGGAACACCCGUGGCGAAAGCGGCGCGCUGGACCACUACUGACGCUGAGGAACGAAAGCUAGGGGAGCAAACAGG
rnacentral:rRNA from 1 species